CCGGAACCAAUCCUCUACAGAUACCAAGGGACAACUUUAUGUUUAAGUGUUACUUUUAGUAUUUUAUUGGAGGUAGCCAAUACAGUAUAUUAGUGUAUACUAAUUAGUGUAUACACCUCAGCCUCACAGAGUGCUGAGAUUACAGGCGUGAGCCACCACACCUGGCCGAAAACACAUGUUUUUAAAAACAUUUUUAAAAGUUAGCCUUUCUGAAAAUAAACAUUCUAAAAAUCUAUUUUUAGCUUUAUCACAUCCACCUAUAAUGUGAACUCAAACAGCUACAUGAUUAGUAGUUUUAAUUGCAUUCAUUAAAAGGGUUUUAAUAUUCAAAGAUGUGCAAACAUCUUCUUGCGUCUGCCAUAGUCUUAAAUAUCACAGAAAUGAGUGUAAAUUAUGUCAAAUAGCAUCCUUAAUAAACAUGCCUCUGGAAAUUAAUGCAGACCUUUUUGUUUAUAUUUCUAUAGCUACAAUCAACCUAAAUUCAGCCAAUGAUAGCUGGUUUGGCAGCUUAAAGGACACUAUUCAGCAUCAGCAAGGAGAAGCGGUUUGGGUCUCUGAAGGAAAGAUGGAAGGGAUGGAUGAUGACCCCGAAGACCGCAUGUCCUACUUAACCGCCAUGGGCGCGGACUAUCUGAGUUGCGAC
rnacentral:sRNA from 1 species